rnacentral:rRNA from 1 species
UGCAGUCGAGGGGCAGCGAGGGCGUAGCAAUACGCCUGUCGGCGACCGGCGCACUGGUGAGUAACACGUAUGCGACCUGCCCCCUACAGGGGUAUAACCCGUAGAAAUGCGGACUAAUCCCCCAUAGUCCUGGGUGCUGCAUGGCAUUCAGGGGAAAGGUCAGCCGGUAGGGGAUGGGCAUGCGGCGCAUUAGCUAGUUGGCGGGGCAACGGCCCACCAAGGCGACGAUGCGUAGGGGUUCUGAGAGGAAGGUCCCCCACACUGGUACUGAGACACGGACCAGACUCCUACGGGAGGCAGCAGUGAGGAAUAUUGGUCAAUGGGCGCAGGCCUGAGCCAGCCAAGUCGCGUGAGGGAAGACGGUCCUACGGAUUGUAAACCUCUUUUGUCGGGGAGUAACGUGCGGGACGGGUCCCGUAUUGAGAGUACCCGAAGAAAAAGCAUCGGCUAACUCCGUGCCAGCAGCCGCGGUAAUACGGAGGAUGCGAGCGUUAUCCGGAUUUAUUGGGUUUAAAGGGUGCGCAGGCGGCGCGCCAAGUCAGCGGUCAAAGUUCCGGGCUCAACCCGGUGUCGCCGUUGAAACUGGCGUGCUCGAGCGCGUGCGAGGAAGGCGGAAUGCGUUGUGUAGCGGUGAAAUGCAUAGAUAUGACGCAGAACUCCGAUUGCGAAGGCAGCUUUCCAGCGCGCUACUGACGCUGAGGCACGAAAGCGUGGGGAUCGAACAGGAUUAGAUACCCUGGUAGUCCACGCAGUAAACGAUGACUACUAGCUUUCCGGGGCGACUGGGCCCUGGGAGGCACAGCGAAAGCGUUAAGUAGUCCACCUGGGGAGUACGCC